AUUACUGCCACUUUUAGAUUCAAAGAAGACCAUCCUCACUUGGGGAAUACUGCUUUCCAGUUAGCUUUGCGACAGUAUCAAAAAUACAUUUUGGAUUGUUUUUAUUCUCCUCAUUCAGGUUGAAAAAGUAGGCUGAUUGAGCAGCAGUUGAGGGCUCCUCGAUAUUGCACAGUACUGUCUUUCCAAUAACCAGUAUACAGUAUCAGUUCUCUAUGUUUGAAAAGUACUAUGAAGCUGUGGCUUGGAGUAUUGCUUCUCCAUCCCAUAAAACUCCAUCGCUUACUAGGCAUCAAUUAGCUAACAUAAUUUAUUUGUUUAUUGGGAAGUUUAAAUUAAUAAGUUAGACACUCAUCAUACAACUUUGUUAGGUAGGUCAUUUGGUUUCCAUUUCCAACAAAUGUUUCUUCUUCCACAGACUUUCUGGUCUUGGAACUGGUCUUGGAACUCCUGUGUUCAACAGAAACAACUUCUGUGGCUUAUUGUGGGCCAUUCUAUCAAAGCUGAGGAUGAUUGCUACUGCGUAGUCAUGGGGACACUAGACCUACAUUUUCAGUUUUGUUUUUAACGAGUCACAGCCAAGCAUGCCGCAGUCACCCGGGUCAAAAUUUGCGAGUGAGGCAUCCUGGUCUGUGCUGUGAUGUGCGACAACGACAUAAAGGACUUGGACCUGACUGAAUCGAUGAACUGAUAGUUGUUUAUUGUACCGCCACGUCUAGGUGUAACAAAGACAACUAAUGAGACAACGCCCUUGGAGAGAGACCAAACCUUCUACUGUAAUGACCUCAUCAGACGCAAGCUACCUUUUGAUGCCUCGUCGGGAAGAGAGAGCCUCUCCAAGAGUGUGUUAGCAUGACCAAACCUUCUACUGUAAUGACCUCAUCAGACGCAAGCUACCUUUUGAUGCCUCGUCGGGAAGAGAGAGCCUCUCCGAGAGCGUGUUAGCAUGACCAAACCUUCUACUGUAAUGACCUCAUCAGACGCAAGCUACCUUUUGAUGCCUCGUCGGGAAGAGAGAGCCUCUCCGAGAGCGUGUUAGCAUGACCAAACCUUCUACUGUAAUGACCUCAUCAGACGCAAGCUACCUUUUGAUGCCUCGUCGGGAAGAGAGAGCCUCUCCGAGAGCGUGUUAGUAUGACCAAACCUUCUACUAUAAUGACCUCAUCAGACGCAAGCUACCCUUUGAUGCCUCGUCGGGAAGAGAGAGCCUCUCCGAGAGCGUGUUAGCAUGACCAAACCUUCUACUAUAAUGACCUCAUCAGACGCAAGCUACCUUUUGAUGCCUCGUCGGGAAGAGAGAGCCUCUCCGAGAGCGUGUUAGUAUGACCAAACCUUCUACUAUAAUGACCUCAUCAGACGCAAGCUACCCUUUGAUGCCUCGUCGGAAAGAGAGAGCCUCUCCAAGAUGUUUGAAGAGCCUGCCUUUGUAAUAAUGAUUUAUAAUUCUCUUGGUCUGAAGCAAAAAUUGGC